rnacentral:lncRNA from 1 species
AUAUUCUCAUCAUAAGGUUUCGGGGGAUAAGGGGAGUUUGGUUAAGCUAAUUAUCGGUCGGAUAAAAACGUGUGUACGUGUACACGUGUGUACGUGUACACGUGUGUACGUGUGUACGUGUACACGUGUGUACGUGUACACGUGUGUACGUGUGUACGUGUACACGUGUGUACGUGUGUACGUGUGUACGUGUGUACGUGUGUACGUGUGUACGUGUACACGUGUGUACGUGUGUACGUGUGUACGUGUGUACGUGUGUACGUGUACACGUGUGUACGUGUGUACGUGUACACGUGUGUACGUGUGUACGUGUACACGUGUGUACGUGUGUACGUGUGUACGUGUACACGUGUGUACGUGUGUACGUGUGUACGUGUACACGUGUGUACGUGUGUACGUGUACACGUGUGUACGUGUACACGUGUGUACGUGUACACGUGUGUACGUGUACACGUGUGUACGUGUACACGUGUGUACGUGUGUACGUGUGUACGUGUGUACGUGUGUACGUGUACACGUGUGUACGUGUGUACGUGUGUACGUGUACACGUGUGUACGUGUGUACGUGUACACGUGUGUACGUGUGUACGUGUGUACGUGUGUACGUGUGUACGUGUGUACGUGUGUACGUGUGUACGUGUACACGUGUGUACGUGUACACGUGUGUACGUGUACACGUGUGUACGUGUGUACGUGUGUACGUGUACACGUGUGUACGUGUACACGUGUGUACGUGUGUACGUGUGUACGUGUGUACGUGUGUACGUGUGUACGUGUGUACGUGUACACGUGUGUACGUGUGUACGUGUGUACGUGUGUACGUGUACACGUGUGUACGUGUACACGUGUGUACGUGUACACGUGUGUACGUGUGUACGUGUGUACGUGUACACGUGUGUACGUGUACACGUGUGUACGUGUGUACGUGUACACGUGUGUACGUGUACACGUGUGUACGUGUACACGUGUGUACGUGUGUACGUGUGUACGUGUACACGUGUGUACGUGUGUACGUGUACACGUGUGUACGUGUACACGUGCGUACGUGUAUACGUGUAUACGUGCGUACGUGUGUACGUGCGUACGUGUGUACGUGUACACGUGUGUACGUGUACACGUGUGUACGUGUGUACGUGUGUACGUGUGUACGUGUGUACGUGUGUACGUGUGUACGUGUGUACGUGUGUACGUGUGUACGUGUGUACGUGUGUACGUGUGUACGUGUACACGUGUGUACGUGUACACGUGUGUACGUGUGUACGUGUGUACGUGUACACGUGUGUACGUGUAUACGUGUAUACGUGCGUACGUGUAUACGUGUAUACGUGCGUACGUGUGUACGUGUGUACGUGUGUACGUGUGUACGUGUGUACGUGUGUACGUGUAC